rnacentral:rRNA from 1 species
UACGGAAGGCAGCAGUGGGGAAUAUUGCACAAUGGGCGCAAGCCUGAUGCAGCCAUGCCGCGUGUAUGAAGAAGGCCUUCGGGUUGUAAAGUACUUUCAGUCGUGAGGAAGGUGUUAAGGUUAAUAACCUUAGCAAUUGACGUUAGCGACAGAAGAAGCACCGGCUAACUCCGUGCCAGCAGCCGCGGUAAUACGGAGGGUGCGAGCGUUAAUCGGAAUUACUGGGCGUAAAGGGCACGCAGGCGGUUAAUUAAGUUGGAUGUGAAAUCCCCGGGCUUAACCUGGGAAUGGCAUUCAAGACUGGUUAGCUAGAGUCUUGUAGAGGGGGUAGAAUUCCAUGUGUAGCGGUGAAAUGCGUAGAGAUGUGGAGGAAAUACCGGUGGCGAAAGGCGGCCCCUGGACAAAAGGACUGACGCUCAUGUGCGAAAAGCGUGGGGAGCAAACAGGGAUUAGAUACC